rnacentral:rRNA from 1 species
UACGUAGGGUGCGAGCGUUAAUCGGAAUUACUGGGCGUAAAGCGUGCGUAGGCGGUGUCUUAAGUUUGUUGUGAAAUCUCCCGGCUUAACCGGGAGGGUGCGGCGAAUACUGAGAUGCUGGAGUGCCGGAGAGGUAAGCGGAAUUCCUGGUGUAGCGGUGAAAUGCGUAGAUAUCAGGAGGAACACCUGCGGUGUAGACGGCUUACUGGACGGUAACUGACGCUGAGGCACGAAAGCGUGGGUAGCAAACAGG